GAUGCUGGAUUGGUGGUUUGGUUCUCAGGUGGCUCCUAGAGGGGCCGCAGUAUGGAAACCACUGGCCUGCUCCUGCCUCUGAGAAAAUGAAGCUGGAGGAGAAGAUGUAAAGAUGUAUUUUUCCAAACUUGCGAUGUUUUAUACAGAAUCUUUCUUAGUGUUUCGCCAUAGUUAUUGAAGUGAGCCCGAGAAUUUGCAUUUCUGACAAGAUCCCAGGAUUUGAACGUCUAUGACACUCUUCCGAGCUGACACAGUGAAGAACAUGGAAGGAGAACUCACCCAGUCUGCCAGGGUCACAGAUGAUCAUACUCAAGAUCUUCCUGGGGAGUCAACGGC
rnacentral:sRNA from 1 species